ACGCUCGACACCUACGAGAGGCAGCAGUUGGGAAUAUUGGACAAUGGAGGAAACUCUGAUCCAGUGACGCCGCGUGAAGGAAGAAGGUCUUCGGAUUGUAAACUUAUUUUGUCAGGGAAGAAAAAUGACUGUACCUGAAGAAAAAGCACCGGCUAACUACGUGUCAGCAGCCGCGGUAAUCUGAGCGGGCUGGCAAGGC
rnacentral:rRNA from 1 species